rnacentral:lncRNA from 1 species
UUUUAGGUCGUAUGUUGAAGACAGUUACGAGACAUCUCCAGGCAUGCUUGGUCGAACGCGGGGAUCUUCUCCAGCUUUAACUCCCCCAGUGGCUUCAAGAAUGGCUUAAACAGGGGUUUCAGUGGUAGUUUCGGGUUGGAUACAACGUUCCCUUCAAUGGUGGCUUCAGCAGUGGCUACGGGGGCGGUUUCGGUGGUGGCUACGGUGGUUUUGGCGGCCUCGGUGGUAGAAAUAACUUCAUGAUUUCGACCCGAGUGUUUGACGCUGUGCAGGAUUUGAUCGAGGACCAGUCCAUGUUUUACGUGACGUUUGAAUGCCAGCCCAAAGUCGGUAAAUACUUUUGUAAAAUGCAGUGUAAAGAGCGCGACGAAAAUUGACAGGAACCUGCGACGGUGGAUAUUGCAACUGCAUUCUCAAAUGGGAGAAAAAGAUGAACAAGGCAAUGAGCAAACAAUUCCGAGCUGCUAUGGAGGGUUACAACACGGAUUGCAGCGACUACAAGGAAGCGAAACAUUGCAAACGGUUCUGCAAAGCUCUAACACCGGACAAAACGUUCACCGGUCAGUGCAACGUGAACCACUGCCAAUGCGUGACCUACCCGAAGACCCCGGGCAAGAAGAAGAACGCUUGCACGAAAGCCAUCAAGCAGCUGAAGAAGAGCGAAGACAAAGCGCUGUAUGGUCUGGGGAUCAAACCGAAGCCGCUGAGCAGCCUCGGUGCCGACGCCGAGAAGCAGGUCAACGCAAUCGCCGACGAAGCCAUCGAGAAGUUGAAGGCCAGCAACUCCAUGGACGGGUGCACCGAGAAGGACAUACAGGAUCUAAAGUCCAUCAUAUCUAGUCUCUCACAAGGAUUGAACCUGGUCAAAGGGUUAGACUACGCGUCAAUCCUCACUGGCGGGGGAAGCGGCAAAGGCGCCGAGAGUAGUCCUGGGAGUCCCGGUAAAAGUGGUGGAAGUUUCGAGAGGAGUGUUGGAAGUCCCGGCAGAAGUGGUGGAGGUGGAUACGGUGGAAGUGCUGGAGGUGGAUAUGGAGGAAGUGCUGAAGGCGGAUAUGGCGGAAGUGGUGGAGGAGGCGGUGGAUAUGGUGGAAGUUCCAGUAGAAGUGGUGGAGGUGGCGGUGGCGGUGGCGGUGGAUAUGCUGGAAGUCCCAGUAGAGGUGGUGGAGGCGGUGGAAGUCCCCGUAGAGGUGGCGGAGGCGGUGGAUAUGGUGGUGGUGGAGGUUGAGGUGGCAGUUGGCAACAGCAGCUUGUAUGAUCAGGAUUAAAUAUUUUCAUUCAUAUUUGGCAAAUAGUAAACUCUGUCAAUGAUUAAAACAUGUCUUAUGCAUCACCAAACUUCAUUCUGUAUAGUAAUUCUAUGAAGCCAAACUAUUAAUUAUCUCGGAGUGAAGUCCGGCGCGGACUUCACUCCGCACCCUGGUAAAAAUUUUUCAUGGAAUUCCAUGGGAUUCCGUGCAGUUUUCCAUGGAAUUACAUGGUGAAGACACGGAACUCCAUGGAGACUCCAUGGAGAAGGCACGGAACUCCAUGGAGAAGGCACGGAACUCCAUGGAGACUCCAUGGAGGAGACACGGAACUCCAUGGUGACUCCUGGGUUUCCGUGGUGACUACAUGGGAUUCCAUGGUGGCAGCAGGAGAUUCCGUGGUGGCUACAUGGAAUUCCAAGGGAGUGUCACGGAAUAGCAAAGGACAUGCAUUGGAACGCCGUGAAACAUUGGAGACCACCACAAGAAUCAACAUGGUAAUCUGGAGAUCAUUGAUUAUCAGCAACUAUUUGCUGUUUUGUCAUGCAUUAUAGAAUUAAGUUGAACUACUCACCGAAGUUCACUAAUGAAGGCCACUAAAAUGUUUCAUGUCAUCAGUUAUCACAGAAUAAGUCUUGAUUAGUGCACUGAAAUUCCUACAACCAUGGCAUUCCCAAGACAAUGCCCACUAUUUAACAAUUGUACCAGUAGGUAGCAAUUACUUUUCACACAGAGAAAGUUUUCAUUUAAAAUAUGAUUAACUUAGAGAUUUGCUAUGGCUGACAGAGAUGUAAUAAUAAUUUGCUGCUUAUACUCUGUUUAAGACAACUGAAAUAACCGCAAUAGUAUGUCAAAAAACAGAAAACACGCAGCUUCUUCGAACCACGCAUACAACGUAGGUACAGCUUUAAAGUCUGUCAAUUAUAGAUCAUCUAUGUUUUGCAAGAUUAGUUUAGACACUGACUAUUCAAUAGGAUGAUAUUAUGUACAGUGGAAAGCACGAAGAAAGACAGAGACUUUCAAUUUUUUAGAAUUUUCAUUGGGGGAGGGGGACUUGACUGCCGAUGAAGGAAGUGUGUAACAAACUGAUAAGGCAAAGUAGCGCCUGAAAGCAAGUUUUAUCCGAUUGCCUUUACUGAAGCUCACUCAUCAUAUUUCCAAAUCUCCUGUGUGAAGCCAACAUUGAAUUGUAGGAAGAACCGAAUGGCUGUAAUAGGAAAAUCAAGGAGAAUUGAGAUGUAUCUAUCAGAAUUUUUUCAUUCUAUUUCUACGCAUGGCCAAAAUAAAAAUUUGAAGAUUGAUUACCAAGAGUCCAUCGCGAUACACUGCUGGCUUACUUUCAGUUUAAUCAAAAUCUACCAACUUCGAGGUAACAUUACUUUCGUCACGAAGGAGUCUCGAAUUCGAGCUGAAACUAUUUAAAUCAAUUAAAAAAAUUAAAACUUGCAUUAUGUACUGGCAGUAAUAACCAACAACUCAUCUUGUGAUCUUGUGUUUACGAUUUCGAUUUAGCUCCGGCUCCUGUGUUGCAAUCCUGCCCUGUUUCAUGUUGAAAUUUUAUUUUAAAAAAAUGAAAGCAAGAAUAGAACGCAAAAGUUGAAGGUGUGACAUAUGAAACAUUAUUGGCGUUAUGCAUUUCAAUAAUAAAGAGGCAAAUGAGUUUUUAUAGAUCAUGCAGAUUUAAAUAAAAAAUCCUCAAUUCAAUUCGGCAACUCAGGAGAUGUGCCACCCCGCUCUGCCUCGCCCUGCCUAGUCGGUAUGUUGAGGUUAGAUUAUCAACGAGGCGAGAUGUCAGGUUGGAUGUCAGGCGCUGUGAGGCUCUCGCAAACUUUACAGUAAUUCUCAGAUCAGUAUAUAUUUCUUGACUUCCUGCUUUCGCUACAUUACGCCAAAUCCGAGUUGAAUGCAAGGGCCUUGAACUGAAUCUAGGUAAGUCAUGAAUAACAAUGAUUAGCAAUUCCCAUUACUGAGUGUACUUAGGCACCAAUAGGUAGUGAUCCAUCAGCGCUCGGUAACCUCUUUAUAGGUAUAGAAUCAUAGCAUUAUGUACAUUUAUUUCUGCAUUUUGAUAAACUAUUCUAACAUUAUUUGUUGAAUAGUAGAUUCAUAUGGGCUCACCAUUUUCUCUAUCUACUCUUUGGUCACUCCUCCGAGUCAGCACCCCAAACAUGAACCGUGAUCGAAUUUUGGUCACAGUCUCCCUUAUCGUGUUUUCAGCACAUGCUAAACACUCUAACUGCAUUCCAUUCCUAGCUCCUUAUCAGCUCAUUUCAUCGUCCCCCUAAGGGAUAAUAUCAGAUUUCUGUCAAAUCAUAUGAGAUCGCCAUCUCCUAUCGUCUGCCGAAACCCAUAUAGACUGUGUAUAAAAUUCAUGGGUGAGAUCUAGGACUGAA